rnacentral:rRNA from 1 species
GACGAACGCUGGCGGCGUGCUUAACACAUGCAAGUCGAACGGAAAGGCCCUGCUUGCAGGGUACUCGAGUGGCGAACGGGUGAGUAACACGUGGGUGAUCUGCCCUGCACUUCGGGAUAAGCCUGGGAAACUGGGUCUAAUACCGGAUAGGAGCCAUUUUUAGUGUGAUGGUUGGAAAGUUUUUUCGGUGUAGGAUGAGCUCGCGGCCUAUCAGCUUGUUGGUGGGGUAAUGGCCUACCAAGGCGGCGACGGGUAGCCGGCCUGAGAGGGUGGACGGCCACAUUGGGACUGAGAUACGGCCCAGACUCCUACGGGAGGCAGCAGUGGGGAAUAUUGCACAAUGGGCGCAAGCCUGAUGCAGCGACGCCGCGUGGGGGAUGACGGCCUUCGGGUUGUAAACUCCUUUCGCUAGGGACGAAGCUUUUGUGACGGUACCUAGAUAAGAAGCACCGGCUAACUACGG